AUCCUUGGUAUGAGGAUUCUUAUGUAACUUUUUGGAAAUGAGUUGUGUGAAGCUUCAUAUGGUCAUAUUCAAAGAGUUACAUAAGAAUCCUCAUACCAAGGAUUUACAUGAUAAUUUUUAUUCCUGUGAAAUAAUCUAUCACUAGCCACAGAUUGGAAAGGAGUUGAAAACAGAAACAAGCAGCUUACAUCCAACAAUUCAGUUCAGAAAAAGGCCACUACUAAAGUGCCUCAGCAAUCUAAUUCACCUUAAUAGAGUAAUUCCUCAAAAACAGGAUCUACAGAUUGCCCCCACUUUCCAUUAUACAACUCCAAAAGCUUCUCAGCUGGCGUUACACCUGUUCUAACCACUUCAGCCACCUCAUUCAAAAAACCAAUUUCCUUAAAGCCUCUCCUUUCUAAGCCAUCCUUAGC
rnacentral:misc_RNA from 1 species